UACGUAGGGUGCGAGCGUUGUCCGGAUUUAUUGGGCGUAAAGAGCUCGUAGGCGGUUUGUCGCGUCGGCCGUGAAAUCUCCACGCUUAACGUGGAGCGUGCGGUCGAUACGGGCAGACUUGAGUUCGGUAGGGGAGACUGGAAUUCCUGGUGUAGCGGUGAAAUGCGUAGAUAUCCGGAGGAACACCGGUGGCGAAGGCGGCUUCCUGGACCGAUACUGACGCUGAGGCGCGAAAGCUAGGGGAGCAAACGGG
rnacentral:rRNA from 1 species